GCCGAGGUGGUCUAGUGGUAAAGAUUCUGGGACAGCAAGGAGCGACGGCAUGGGCACUAAAAAUGCCCACCACCUUGCUAACUGGAGACGCCGGUUCGAUUCCGGCCCUUGGCA